UUCAUACUAAACACACCCUGAGGCUUUAAAAAUGAUUCUCUUCCAUACACACAGCAAAAAACUAAAAGCUCAGAGAAAACAAAUGAGGUUUGCAAAGAGUGGAGUUUAAAUGUUCAAAGGGCUGUUGCUCCUCUUUCCAAUACCUAUGAUUUCAACUUUUUUUGCUGUGUAAAAAAAAUAAAAAAAAAUAGCCCUUUUUGCAAUUAAACAGUACCAAACGACCCCUUAAGUAUUUGCUUGUUAAAUUCUCACUCCCAAAGUGAGAAUCAUUUAGUAAUAGUAAUAAUAAUAAUAAUUUUAGAGAAAAUUUAUGAGGCUAUGAUGAUGAAUUUUUUUUUUCUUUGUUUCUCUGAGCAAAAUUGAUUAGGGUAUUGAGAUGACCCGACCCGUAUCUUGGCGGGGCGACCCGGAAACCGGUGUUUGCAGCCAUGGCGGUGAUUUGAGUCUCUCUUUGCUGUAUGCUGGGAGAUGACCCGACCCGUAUCUUGGUGGGGCAACCCGGUGUUUGCAGCCAUGGUGGUGUCUUCAAUCUCUUGCUGUAUGGUAACUAUUACAAGAAAAAGCCCAAAGUUAGACUCAAAAUGAUCCUUGUUUGGGGAAAAUUAGGCUCUAUGUCUACUGGGUGAAAAUAUUUUGGCCACGUAGCCCAUAUUUUGUGUAUAAAAACCUUUGAUACACUAUGACACACUUUUAUACAAGUUUGAUACAUUAGUAUAAUGCUUUCCCCAGGUUUAAUGUUGUAUAAACUGAAAAUAUGGCUACGUGGUGUAAUACUUUAUGUUGGGCUGUAUUUUGUUGUCCACCGGAAACCGUCUCUCUACCUACCUUGGUAGGGGUAAGGUCUGCGUACCCAGACCCAACUUUGUGGGAUUUCACUGGGUAUGUUGUUGUUGUUGACUGUAUAGUUUUGAAAAUUUCCCGGAAACCGUUGGCUGAAAAGGAAGAAAUGAGGCAUAUGAAAAAACCAACAGCCUUUUCAAAAGCAGAAACUGAAAAACCCAAUAGAGUUGUGCAUAAAGUGGCAGUGAUGAUGUUUCUAUAUUUGGGCCAGCCAAUCCGGGCAUGGAGAUGACCCGACCCGUAUCUUGGCGGGGCAACCCGGACAGCAGGUGAUCUGCAAUCGGUGUUUGCAGCCAUGGCGGUGUCUUCAAUCUCUUGCUGUAUGGUAUAUACAUAUGGAGCCCGUUUGGAUUGGCUUAUAAGUUGCUUAUAAGCUGUUUUCAGCUUUUUUGAGUGUUUGUGCUUAAAAUAAGCUCAAAAAAAUAAUUGGGCCCAUUUGACUUAGCUUAUCUAAAACAGCUUAUAAGCUGUUUGCUUAUAGGCAUAUAAGCCCAUCCAAACAGGCUCAUGGUAAUUAUUAGAGUUUAAUGGUCAAAAACACAUCUGAACUAUCGCUCUUCGCGAGUUUCACACUCCAAUUGCCAGUUGUUCCCUUUUUCUAACUGAACUAUCACCAUUAUCUCUAAUUAUUAUGAGGAAAAGCCCAAAAUUAUUCCUUAUCCUUGAGCUUAGACUCAAAGUGAUCCUUGUUUUUUUUUCAUAUGGAGCACUAAUAGUACUCCAUCUUUACAAUAUUGAUGCACUUUUUCGUCCAAAAGAUGGAAGUUUUGGGAGCCAGAAUGUUUGAUUUUCUUAAAUGCAGCUGGGAAAUUCGCAGGUGGAAUAAUACACUAGAAUUCCGCCCCCCCUCUAAACCCAAAAAAGGGAAAAGGUUAGCGCAGAAAAGAAAGAAAUGAGGCAAAACAGAGAGUAUUGGGAUUUUCUUUGAAGGGUGGUUGCCCCCUCUGUUGCGCCAUUGAUUGUCCAUUUUCAAACAACCAACAGCCCUUGAAAAUAGCAGAAGCAAACAGGAUUUAUGUCAUAUAUAUAUGCCGUCGUUCGCAUUUGUUUGUGUAUGUGUGUUGUUUCUUCGGUGCAGUAAUGAUGAUGUUUCUAUAUCUGGACCAAUUUGGGCAUGGAGAUGACCUGACCCGUAUCUUGGCAUGGCAACCCGGUAUGGCCUGCGACUGAGACUUCUGUUUCUCACAUGCAACUGGCGUUUGCAGCCAUGGCGUGGUUGGCUUCUUGUUUGCCUUAUCAUAAUACACAUCUGAGCCCCAUUUUCUUGAAAUAAAUAAAAAUUCACUUAAUAUCCUCAAAAACGUUUUCCAUUAACAAUAUUUUCCUUCAUACUGAACACAUCCUGAGUUUAAAAAUGACUCUCUUCCCAUUCUCUUGUACACACAGCAGAAAAACUAAAAGCUCAGAUAAAAGAAAUGAGGCUUGCAGAGAGUAGAGUGGAAAGUCCAAAGUGCUGUUGCCCCUCUAUGCAAUACUUGUGAUUUCAUUUUUUGCUGUGAACAAAAAAAAGAACAGAGCUUUUGCAAUUAUACAGUACCAAACGACCCCUUAAGUCUUUGCUUAUUCUCACUCCCAAAGUGAGAAUCAAUGUUUGAUUUUUCUUAAAUGCAGCUGGGAAAUUCCCAGGUGAAAACACAUGAGAAUCCGGGCAUGGAGAUGCCCUGACCCAUAUCUUGGCAGGGCAACCCGGAUGCAGCCAUGACGGUGUGUUCACUAUUCAAUCUAUUGCUGUGUGGUAAAUACGUAUGGUAGUUAUUACGAGAAAAAGCCCAAAAUUAUCCCUUAUCUUUGAGCUUAGACUCACACUCUGUUUGGAUGAUUGUUACCCAUGGUUUCAUAAUGUACAGUAUCAUAUUGUAUUGUAUUGUAUUGCAAAUUCAUCUUUGUUUUUUCAUAUGGAGCACUAAUACGUCUAAUAGUACUCUAUCUUUACAAUAUUGUGCACUCCUAGUCCAAAAGAUGGAAGUUUUGGGAGCCUUAAUGUUUGAUUUUCUUAAAUGCAGCUGGGAAAUGUAGGUGGAAAAAUACGAGAAUAUCCCCUCAAAAGGGGAAAAGGUUAGCCCAGAAAAGAAAGAAAUGAGCCAGAACAGAGAGUAUUGGGAUUUUUUCUGAAAGGGGGGGUUGCCCCUCUCGGCUGCGCCAUUGAUUUUCCUCCAUUUUGAAACAAUUAACAGCCCUUGAUAAAACCAGAAGGAAACAGGAUUUCAGUCAUAUAUACUGUCAUUCGCCUAUGUUUUUGUGUGUGUGUUGUUUUUCCGGUGUGAUUGAAGGUAUGUAAAGAGACAGUGAUGAUGUUUCUAUAUCCGGGCUAACCAAUUCGGGCAUGGAGAGUACCUGACCCCGUAUCUUGGCAUGGCAACCCGUUAUGUCCUGUGACUGAGACUUCUGUCUCUCGCAUGCAACUGGUAGUUGCAUCCAUGGCUCACACACACAUCUGAGCCCCAUUUCCUUGAAAGGAACCCAAGAAAAAAAAGAAAAAAAAAGAAGGGGAAUUUCUUUUUCCCACGAUUUGGAUGGGAGUGACUGUCUUAUGCUGCUGCUAUACCUGCUGAAUGAAAUCAUGGAUUUCCAUUUCAUAGACAAUAAAUGAAGCUGCAUAUAGUUUGCAUAUGCUGCUGUAUCUGCUGAGUGAAAUUAUCAAAUGGCUGAAUCUCAUGUUUUUCUAGUCUAGGUUUCAGUCUGUUCCAAUUGUUAUAGCUCGUAUUUAUUUGAUAGAAGGAAGAAAGUUUGAUAAUGGUCGAAUAUCGUGUUUGCUACUCUAGGUUUCUCAUCAUACUUCUCAGACUCAUCAUUGUGUCAAAUGGUGAGUCAAGAAAAAGGAUUUGAGUUCGCAUACUGAUAUGUAGCAUAACGAUUUUUUCGCUCAAUUCUGCACCAAUCAAAACAGAAUUUUCCCCUAAAUUCUGAUUUUAAAUGUUAACAAAAAGCCUUUCGUAUUUUUCCCUCAAUUCGGAGGCUGCUCAUGGUUGAUACUUGAUUGAUUGAUCUGAUUGUAUGCGAAGGACAUGUGUGUGUGUGUGUAUAUAUAUAUAUAUAUUUGAUGUUGUCAUUCCUGCAGUCUAUAACUAUGGAAAAAACUGGGUAGGAAAGUGGCUAUGAUGAUAAUUCUGAUGGACAUGUGGAGGUCGGGUACUGAGUUUAAGACGCCUGUUCUUGGCGGGGCAACCUGGUUUUGUAGUUUGCAUACAAGGUAACAAGCAACCCAGGUUGCAGCCAUGGCAGUGUUAAAGACUCAUAGCCUGAAUUGAAUGACUUGGGUCCAAAUCCAAAUGUCUGCUAGCAAUAAACAAAUUCCAUUCGGAGCCUCCUUGAUUCUCAAGCACUUGCUAACUUGCUCCUCUUCAUCUAUUUCUGCAGCGAAUUUCUCAUGUUCUGUUUCUCUGAUGGAAUCAAAUUGUAUGUUUCUAUUUAUCUCUCAUGGCCUUUGUCUUCCCAAUUAAGCCAGAUUAGAGAGAGUGAGGCAACAGAGAGAAGGGAUUCCUAGCAAGGGUGGUUGGCCUCUCUGCUUGCCAAUGAUUCUCAUAUUUUACAAAAUCAACAGCCCUUCAAGGGAAAAAAAGAAAGAAAAUGAAAUCAGUCCAGUGGUAGAAUAGUACCCUGCCACGGUACAGACCCUGUUCGAUCUGCGGCUGGUGCAGUUCACUUCCUCAUCACAAAAGAAAAAAGAAAAGACAUGAAAGAAGAAAGCAGUUGCUUAUUCUUCAAGUCAUAGUAGUACAUCCAUUACAGUAAAGGGUAAACUUGGGGUAAAUUGCAAUUUUGAGAUCGUCAAGUGUUUAGAUGAUGCUGUGACUCUCUUCCAUCAAAUUUUGACCAAUUUAUAAACACAAGUUCUAUCACUGACAGUGUGAAGCUAGAACUUGAGCAUAGCCCAGAAAGGAAGAAGAAUGAGGCAUCAGAGAAAUUGGGAUUUUCUGUAAAAGGGUGGUUGCCCCUCUCUGGUUUGCCAGUGAUUUCUCCAUUAGUGGAUCAAAAAAAUCAACAACCCUUUGAAAUAAACAUGAAAAAAUACAACUUUAUACCAAACACACCCCUAUAUCCUUCUUGCUCUUCCUCCUUGCAGCUACUAAUGUUGUAAAUGGCUGUGAUGAUUGCUUGCUUUCCUUUAUGGGCUAUGUUCAAUUAUAACAUUGAGCAAAACUCCCACCCGUAUCUUGGCAGGGCGACCCGGUAAGGCUUCCGAUAGCAAACUGGUGUCUGCAGCCAUGGCGGCGAUGCAUUCUCUUUUGCUUUGUUCCAAUACAGCAAAUCUGAGCCCUCAAUUAUUCAUUUGGGUCAGAAAACCCAUUACGGGUUGUUGAAAUCUGAAGAAAUUGCACUGUUGGCCCUUCAAACGGAUUGGUCUUUAAUUUUUGCCCUUCAAAUGGGCUCAGCUCUGGAGCAUGAGGCAUUGGAGAAAUUGGGAUUUUCUGUAAAGGGUGGUUGCCCAUCUCUGCUUUGCCAGUGAUUUCUCCAUUGAUGACCAAAAAAACCAAUAGCCCGGUAAACAAGGAACAUAAAGAGGUUUGACUGUAUGUACACUGAGAUAUCUGUGUAUAUUCUGUGUAUGUGUGUGUGUGUGUGUUUUUUACUGUGUUGAUGAAAGGUACAUAAAGAGGCAAUGAUGAUGAUGUUCCUAUAUCUGGGCUAACCAAUUCAGGCAUGAAGAUGACCCAACCCGUAUCUUGGUUUGGCAACCUGGUAUAGCCUGUGACUGAGACUUCUGUCUCUCACAUGCAACCGGUGUUUGCACCCAUGGCUUGGUUGGCUUGUCUUUUGCCUUAUAAUUAUACACAUCUAAGCCCCAUUUGCUCGAAAGGUUAAAAAAACAGAAUCUUUUCUGUGAUUCAAUGUUGGACUUUCUGUACAAGCUAUGAAUCAUCUUGCAGUCCUAAUGUAUCAUCAUAUUUGUUCAGAGAAAGAAGAAUGAGGUCAUCAGAGAAUUGGGAUUUUCUGUAAAAGGGUGGUUGCCCCUCUGCUUUGCCAGUGAUUUCUCCAUUAAUUGACCAAAAAAACCCAACAGCCCUUUGAAAUAAUCAAGAAAAAAAACAAACAACUUUGUACCAAACACACCCUUAUAUUCGUCUUGCUCUUCCUCUUCCUCCUUCCCUUUGUGCUGCAACUAAUGUUGUAAAUGGGCUGUGAUGAUUGCUUGAUUUCCUUUCUGGGCUAUGUUCAAUUAUAGCAUUGAGAAUAUAUCCGACCCGUAUCUUGGCAGGGCGACCCGGUUAUGGCUUUUGUACAGCAAACUGGUAUCUGCAGCCAUGGCGGCGUCGCUCUUCUCUUUUGCUUUGUUAAGAAAUACAGCAAAUCUGAGCCCUCAAUAACCCGUUUCGGGUCGGAAAACCCAUUACGGGUUGUUGAAAUUUGAAGAAAUUGCAUGUUUUGCCUUUCAAACGGACUGGUCUUUAAUUUUUGCCCUUCAAAUGGGCUCAGCUUCGAAGAAUGAGGCAUCGGAGAAAUUGGGAUUUUCUGUAUAAGGGUGGUUUUCCCUCUCUGCUUUGCCAGUGAUUUCGCCAUUGAUGACCCAAAAAACCAACAGCCCUUUGAAAUAAACAAGAAAAAGCAAAACAAUAAAAUUUGGAGCUGUUUGGCCAUGAGAAUUAUUCGUGAAGCUACAAGUUGAGCAUAGCCAGAAUGAGGCAUCAGAGAAAUUGGGAUUUUCUGUAAAAGGGUGGUUGCCCAUCUCUGCUUUGCCAGUGAUUUCUCCGUUAAUUGACGGAAAAAACCAACAACCCUUUGAAAUAAACAAGAAAAAAAUAAAAAUUGCACGGUUUGCCCUUCAAAUUGGCUGGUCUUUCACCCCUAUACUCUUCUUGCUCUUCCUCUUUCUCCUCUCUUUGUGCUGCUGAUGUUGUAAAGGGGCUAUGAUGAUUGCUUGCUUCUCUUUCAGGGCUAUGUUCAAUCAUGGCACUGAGAAAAAAUGGACCCGUAUCUUGGCAGGGUGACCCGGUUAUGGCACUUGUACAGCAAACUGGCGUCUGCAGCCAUGGCGGCGUCGCUCUUCUCUUUUGCUUUGUUCAAAUACAGCAAAUCUGAGCCCUCAAUAACCCAUUACAUGGUCUUGGAUUGUGAGUCCAUUCUCCGGUCGGAAAACCCAUUACGGCUUUGCGUUGAAAUUUUAGCUCUGAAGAAAAAGGCAUAUUUUUCAACAGAAAGGCCCGUGUAAGUCUCGAUUUAAGAAAAUAACCUUUUGCAAAAAGUAAAAUCAAAUACAAUCCCAUCUCCAAUUCCAACUUCAUAAAUUCCAAAUAAAUUGUUUUUUUUUUUUUUUUUUGGAAUCUAUGGCCAAACGCCUGUGAUGACCUGCCCAUAUCUAUAUCUGGGCUAACCAAUUGGGGCAUGGAGAUGACCUGUCCCGUAUCUUGGCGUGGCAACUUGGUUUAGCCUGUGAUUGAGAUUUCUCUCUCACAUGCAACCGGUAUUUGCAGCCAUGGCGUGGCUGGCUUCUCCUUUGCCUUGUCAUAACACACAUCUGAGGCCUAUUUGCUUGAAAAGCAAAAAAGAAUGUUUUGCAUGAUUGAAUUUUGGGAUAUGUUGAACCUGCAAUGGUGUGCUAUAUAGAUCAGUUACAGUCCUAAUGAAUCAUCAUUUUUGUUCGUUAUCAGCUGAGAAUAGCAUAGAGAGAACGAAGAAUGAGGCAUUGGGGAGGGAUUGGGAUUUUCAGUAAAGGGUGGUUGCCCUUCUCUGCUAUGCCACUGAUUUUUCCAUUGAUAACUGAAAAACGACAGCCCUUUGAAAUAAACAAGAAAAGAACAAUAGAACUGGGAUCCAAACGAACCCUUUUGGGCUAGGUUUAAUCAUUUCAUUGAGAAAAUAUCGGACCCGUAUCUUGGCGGGUGACCUAGUAUGGCUUUUGUGUAGCAAACUAGUGUCUGCAGCCAUGGCGGCAUCCCUUCUCAUUUGCGUUGUCAUAAAAUACGGAAAAUCUGGGUCCUCAAUAAGCAUUUCAUGUUCUUCGAUUGUGAGUCCUUUCUCGGAUGGAAACCCAUAUGGGACAAAAUUCUGUAAAUAUUUUACAGAGUCAAAGUUUUAACUGUUGGUAAAUUUAAAGGACCAAAACUGUAAGUGCAUUAAGGGACUAUUUUGAACCUACUCUCAAACAUAAGGAACCAUAUUUGUCAUUUUCUGGGUAGCAAUCAUCCAAACAAGCUGUAAAAGUUUUGCCCAUAAUACUCAGAGGUUCUACCAGAACCUUGUGUUUUCAUUUUGGUUCUGGACUCCAAGUUGAGCAUAAGCCAGAAAGGGAGAAGAAUAAGGCACAUCAGAGAGAUUGGGAUUUUCUGUAAAGGGUGGUUGUCACUCUCUUUUUUGCCAGUGAUUUCGCCAUUGAUGGCCAAAAAAAACAACCCCCCUUUGAAAUGAACAAGAAAAAAAACCAAAAGAACUUCAUCCAAACACCCCCCUAUACUCUUCCUGCGCUCUCUUUGUGCUGCUGCUGCUGAUUUUGUUGUAAAGGGGCUAUGAUGAUUGAUUGCUUUCCUUUCUGGGCUAUGUUCAAUCAUGGCAUUGAGAAAAAUCCGACCCGUAUCAUGGCAGAGCGACCCAGUACGGCUUUGUAUAUAGCAAUCUGGUGUUUGCAGCCAUGGCAGCGUCGCUUUUCUCUUUUGCUUUGUUCAAAUAAAGCAAAUCUACAGGUUUGCGUUGAAAUUUCAGCUCUGAAGAAUGAGGCAUCAGAGAAAUUGGGAUUUUCUGUAAAGGGUGGUUGCCCAUCUCUCAUUUGCCAGUGAUGUCGCCAUUGAUGACCAAAAAAACCAACAUCCCUUUGAAAUGAACAAAAAGGAAAGAAAAAAAAAAUUGAAAAAACUUCAUCCCAACACACCCCUAUACACUUCUUGCUCUUCCUCAAAAUUAAAGACCAGCCCAUUUGAAGGACAAACCAUGCAAUUUCUUCAUUUUUGUGCUGUUGCUGCUGCUGAUGAUGUUGUAAAGGGGCUGUGAUGAUUAUUGCUUUCCUUUCUGGGCUAUGUUCAAUUAUAGCAUUGAGAAAAAUACGAGCCGUAUCAGGGCGACCCGGUUACGACUUUGAAUAGCAAACUGGUGUCUGCAGCCAUGGCUGCGUCGCUCCUCUUUUGUUUUGUUACGGAAUACAGCAAAUCUGAGCCCUCAAAAAGUAGCAGUUACUUUAUGCAAUGGAUCUUAAUGGGUUAGCCAUGGACGUUGAUGGGGACAAUUCGGGCACUUGUUUAACCAGCUUUGUUGAUGAUGGCACUGAGUCACAAGUACUUCCUUGCACGCAGAACAAUACUCGAAAUGCUUAAAGAUCGUGGAUUUGCAUUAAAACUGAACUGUGUGGGUUCAACAGAAGAAGGAGAAGAACUAAACUGAACUGAGAAACACAAAAAGGGUUGUCCAGUACAGAGUAAAGGGGUUACAAAAUCUUGGAAAAAAAAGGUGAAAAAAUUUGAUCUUUUAUGUGUGGGUUUUGUUAUGAGAUCGAUUCUUGGGUUUUGAGCUUUGUGGUUUUUUUUUUUUUUUUUUUUUGGUGCUUUGAUGAUGGUAUUUUGGUAUGGGUAAUGAGGGCUAGGGUUUUCUUGAUUUUUUGGGUAAAUGCUGAUUUUUUUGAGUUUGCUUUACUUGGAUCUACGAGAUUGUUUAGUGAGCUGGCUUGAUUUGUGAAAAAAAAAACAUAUAUGCAGAGAAAUCUGUAUGUGUAUUUGAUGAUGAAGGUGGUGGAAAAGGAUGGUUUGGUGUCACUAGUGGUGUGGCUAAUCUUGGUUGUACAUCCUAUUAGGCUCAUUUGUUUUAUUUGAAAAGCAACAAUAUACCUGUUUACUGCUAAAAAUGGUUUUAGGAUAACAAUUAAAUUAAAUUUGUUUGUAAGGGGCUAUGAUGAUUGCUUGCCUUUCUUUCUGCUGUAUGUUCAAUCAUGGCAUUGAGAAAAGCCCGACCCAUAUCUUGGCAGGGCAACAUGGUUACGGCUUUGAGUAGCAAACUGGUGUCAGCAGCCAUGGCGACGUCGCUCUUCUCUUUCGCUUUGUUAUGAAAUAAAGCAAAUCUAAGCCCUCAAAAAAUGGUCUUCGAUGGUGAGUCCAUUCUUGGGUCGGAAAACCCAGUACGGGUUUGCGUUGGAAUUUCAGCUCUGAAGAAUGAUGCAUGGGAGAAAUUGGAAAUUUGAAGGUGAAAAUACCUAUGAAUUUCCCCACUGUUACCAUUAUCAAAAAAGAUACCUAUGAAUUUCCCCAAAUAUUGGAAAGGUUAGUCCAGAAAGAAAGAAAUGAGGCAAAACAGAGAGUUUGGGAUUUUCUUUAAAGGGUGGUUGCCCCUCUCUGUUGCGCAGUUGAUUUUCCUCCAUUAUCAGGCGACCAACAGUCCUUGUUUAUGAAAAAAGCAAAAAUUGGAAAACCCAAAAUGGAUUUGACAUACAGUCGCACCUCUCUAUAUAAGUCAUCCUUGAUAACAACAUUUCAUUAUAAGGCCAACUUUUUUUGGAACCUAUAUUUCAUGUUAUGUUAUAUAAUACAUUCUCUAUAACAGCAUUUUGCUCCGCCGAACGACGGCGAUAGAGAGGAUUGACUGUAUAUAGAGAUCUCUGUCUUUCUUCUUCUCUGUGUGUGUGUGUUUACAGUGUUGAUGGAAGGUACUUAAAGGGGCAGUGAUGAUGAUUUUUCUAUAUCUGGGCUAACCAAUUCGGGCAUGGAGAUGACCUGACUCAUAUCUUGGCGUGGCAACCCGGUAUGGCCUGUGGACUGAGACUUCUGUCUCUCACAUGCAACCAGUGUUUGCAGCCAUGGCAUGGCUGGCUACUCUUUUGCCUUAUAAUAACACACAUCUGAGGCCCAUUUGCUCGAAAGGGAAAAAAAUAGAAUCUUUUGCAUGAUUCAAUGUUGGAAUCUGAUCCUGCGACUUUCUGCUGCAAGUUAUACAUCAUCUUGCUUGUAUGUAUCAUCAUAUUUGUUCAGUAUCAGCUAAGUAUAGCCUAGAAAGAAAGAAGAAUGAGUCAGCAAAGAGAUUGGGAUCUUCUGUAAAGGAUGGUUGCCCGACUCUGCUGUAUGCCCGUGAUUUCUCCAUUGAUAACCAAUGCACUAACAGCCCUUUGAAAUAAACAAGAAAAAAGAAGAACAAUAAAACUGUCAUUCAAACACUCUUUUGGACUAUGUUCAAUCAUUGCAUUGAGAUUAUCGGACCUGCAUCUUGGCGGGGCGACCUGGUAUGGCUUUUGUAUAGCAAACUGGUGUCUGCAGUCAUGGUGGCGUCCCUUCUCUUUUGCUUUGUCAUAAAAUACAGCAAAUCUGACCUCAAUAAGCAUUUCAUUUCAGUUCUAAAGAUAUGAGGCAACAACAGCAUUCUCAGAUCCCUCAAUGGGGUCAGGGGAGGGUGAGUGUACGUAUAUCUUUACCCCUACCUUGUGUGAGGUAGAGAGGUUGUUUCCGAUGGACCCUCGGCUCAAGAAUCUCUAAAGAAAUAAGGCAUACGAUGAUGGUCUGGGCUAAUCAAUUAAGUCAUGGAGAUGACUGGACCUGUAUCUUGGUGUGACAACCGGUAUGGCCUGUGAGUCUGUGACUGCUGUCUCUCAUAAGCAACUAGUGUUUUGCAGCCAUGGCGUGGCUGGCUUCUCUUUUGCUUUAUCAUAACACUCAUCUGAGCCCCAUUUGCUUGAAAAGAUAGGAAAAAAAAAGAAUCUUUUUUGAUUCGAUUUUGGGAUAUCCUCCUCCUCUUUGUGCUGCUGCUGAUGUUGUAAAUGGGCUGUGAUGAUUGCUUGCUUUCCUUUCUGGGCUAUGUUCAAUUAUGGCAUUGAGAAAAUAUCCGACCCAUAUCUUGACAGGGCAGCCCAUUUAUGGCCUUUGUACGGCAAACUGGUGUCUGCAGCCAUGACGGCGUCACUUUUCUCUUCUGCUUUGUUCAAAUACAGAAAAUCUGAGCCCUCAAUAGCCCAUUCUGGUUGUUGAAAUUUGAAGAAAUUGCACGGUUCGCAUUUCAAACAGACUGGUUUUUAAUUUUUGCCCUUCAAAAUCAAAUGGGCUCAGCUUUGAAGAAUGAGGCAUAGGAGAAAUUGGGAUUUUCUGUAAAGGGUGGUUGCCCCUCUGAUAUGCCAGUGAUUCUCCAUUGAUGACCAAAAAAACCAACAGCCCAUUAAACAAGGAACAUAAAGAGGUUUGACUGUAUGUACACUGAGAUAUCUGUGUUUCUUCUGUGUAUUUAUGUGUGUUUUUUACGGUAUUGAUGAAAGGUACGUAAAGAGGCAGUGAUGAUGAUGUUCCUAUACCUGGGCUAACCAACGGGGGCAUCGAGAUGACCCGACCCGUAUCUUUGGUGUGCAACCAGGUAUGGCUUGUGACUGAGGCUUCUGUUUCUCACAUGCAACUCUGUGUGCAGCCGUGGCGUGGUUGGCUCUGUUUUGCCUUGUCGUAACGCACAUCUGAGCCCCAUUUGCUUGAAAGGAAAACAAUAGAAUCUCUUCCAUGAUUCAAUGUUGGAAUAUGUAGAACCUUUCUGCUACUAGGUAUAAAUCAUCUUGCAAAUCCUAAUGUAUCACCAUAUUUGUUCAGUAUCAGCUGAACAUAGCCUUGAAAGGAUGAAGAACGAGGAAUCAGAGGGAUUAGGAUUUUCUGUAAUGGGUGGUUGCCCCUCUGCUAUGCCAGUGAUUUCGAUUGAUAACUAAAAGAUCAACAGCCCUUUGAAAUAAACAAGAAAACGAAAAACAGUAAAAUUUGGAGUUGUCUGGCCAUGUGAAUUAUUAGUGAAGCUACAAGUUGAACAUAGCCAGAAUGAGGCAUCAGAGAAAUUGGGAUUUUCUGUAAAAGGGUGGUUGCCCCUCUCUGCUUUGCCAGUUAUUUCUCCAGCCCUUUGAAAUAAACAAGGAAACGAAAAACAGUAAAAUUUGGAGUCGUCUGGCCAUGUGAAUUAUUAGUGAAGCUACAAGUUGAGCAUAGCCAGAAUGAGGCAUCAGAGAAAUUGGGUUUUUCUGUAAAAGGGUGGUUGCCCCUCUCUGCUUUGCUAGUUAUUUCUCCAUUGAUGACCAACAGCCCUUUGAAAUAAACAAGAAAAAAAAAACAGCUUCAUACCAAACACACCCCUCUACUCUUCCUUUUACUCCUCUCUUUGUGCUUUUGCUGCUGCUACUUUUGUUGUAAAAGGGCUGUGAUGAUUGCUUGCUUUCCUUUCUGGGCUAUGUUUAAUUAUAGCAUUGAGGAAUCAUCCAACCCGUAUCUUGGCAGGGCGACCCGGUUAUGGUUUUGCAUAGCAAACUGGUGUCUGCAGCCAUGGCGGCGUCACAUUCUCUUUUGCUUUGUUUGAAUACAGCAAAUCUGAGCCCUCAAUCACCCAUUCGAGUCGGAAAACCCAUUACGGGUUUGCUUUGAAAUUUCAUCUAUGAAGAAUGAUUCUCUUAGUAGGCAUUUGGCGAUAGAUUCCAAAUAUUUUUCAUUAAGAGCUCAGAAAAAAAAGAAUUAGGGUUGCAGAGAGUAGAGGGGAAAGUUCGAAAGGCUGUUUGCUCCUCUCUGUAAUACCUGUGAUUUCAAUUUUUGCUGUGGAAAAAAUAAAUUCAAAAUCCCUUUUGCAGUUAAACAGUAACCAAACGACCCUUUUAAGUCUUUGUUUGUUCUCUCUGAGCAAAUUGUUUCUAGUAGUAAUAAUAAUAAUAAUUGUAGCGAAAUUCUGAGGCCUUGAUGAUCAUUUUCUUCUUAAAUUCUCUGAGCAAAUCAAUUAGGGAGGAGAGUAAUUGGACCCGUAUCUUGGCGGGGAGACCCGGAUGGCAGGUGAACUGCAACCGGUGCUUGCAGCCAUGGCGGUGAUUCCAGUCUUUCUUACUUAUAGCAAGUAUUUACAGAUCUGAGCCUCAGCCCCUGUUUGGAUGGUUGUUUCCCAUGGUUCAUUAUUGUAUUGUUUUCAUUGAUACCAUGCUCGUUUCCAUUGUUCCUAUGCACAUAAAGUUUAGCCCAGAAAAGAAAGAAAUGAGGCAAAAUGGAGAGUAUUGGGAUUUUUGAAGGGUGCUUGCCCCUCUCUGUUCUGCCAUUGAUUUUCCUCCAUUAUCAAAAAAACCAACAGCCCUUUUUUAUGAAAAAAAGCUGAAACCACAAACAACAAUUAGUUUUUAGUCAUAUACAGUUGCGUCUUCUUCUGUGUUUUGUGUGUGUGAUUUUUUUGGUGUGGACAAAAGUUGCCGUAAAGUGGUAGUGAUGAUGAUGUUUCUAUAUCUGUGCUAACCAAUUCGGACAUCGAGAUGACACAUCUCUGUGCCCCAUCUGCUUGAAAGAAAAAAGGGAAUCUUUACUAUGAUUUGGAUGGGAAUGGCUAGGACUUGAGCAUAUCCCAGAAAGGAAAAGACUGAGGCAUCAGAGAGAUUGGGAUUUUUUGUAAAAGGGCGGUUGCCCAUCUCUGCUUUGCCAGUGAUUUCUCCAUUAAUGGACCAAAAAAACCAACAACCCUUUGAAAUAAUAAACAAGAAAAACAACCACAGAACUUCAUACCAAACACACCUCUAUACUCUUCUUGCUCUCUCUCUCUCUCUCUCUUUGUGUUGCUGCUACUGAUUUUGUUGUAAAGGGGCUAUGAUGAUUCCUUGCUUUCCUUUCUGCGCUAUGCUCAAUUAUAGCAUUGAGAAAUAUCUGAUCCGUAUCUUGGCAGGGCGACCCAGUUACGGCUUUGACAUAUGUCUGCAGCCAUGGCGGCGUCGCUCUUAUCUUUCGCUUUGUUCAAAUACAGCAAAUCUGAGCCUCAACAACCCAUUUUGGGUCGGAAAACCCGUUACAGGUUGUUGAAAUUUGAAGAACUUGCACGGUUUACCCUUCAAACGGACUGGUCUUUAAUUUUUGCCCUUCAAAUGGGUUCAGCUCUGAUGAAUGAGGCAUCGUAGAAAUUGGGAUUUUCUGUAAAAGGGUGGUUGCCCCUCUCUGCUUUGCCAGUGAUUUCUCCAUUGAUGACCAAAAAAAAAGAAAAGAAAAGCCAACAGCCCUUUAAGCAAGGAACAUAAAGAGGUUUGACUGGUAGGGAUCUUAGUAGCUCAGUUGGUUGGCUACCUGAACUUUCACCUUGUUGGUGAGGGUUCGAAUCCCCACAUUGUAAUCCCCUUCCCCUACCCCCUAUGUAAAAAGAAAAAAAAAGAGGUUUGACUGUAUGUACACUGAGAUAUCUGUGUUUCUUCUGUGUAUGUGUGUUCUACGGUGUUGAUGUACAGAAAGAGGCAGUGAUGAUGAUGUUUCUAUAUAUGGGCUAACCAAUUCGAGCAUCGAGAUGACCCGACCCGCAUCUUGGUGUUGCAACCCCGUAUGGCUUGUGACUGAGGCUUCUGUCUCUCCCAUGCAACCGGUGUUUGCAGCCAUUGCGUGAUUGGCGGUCUGUUUUGCCUUAUCAUAACACACAUCUGAGCCCCAUUUCCUUGAAAGGAAAGAAAAAGAAUCUUUUCUGUGAUUCAAUGUUGGAAUAUGUAGAACCUUUCUGCUACAAGCUAUAAAUCAUCUUGCAAGUCGUAAUGUAUCACCAUAUUUGUUCAGUAUCAGCUGAACAGUCUUGAGAGGAUGAAGAAUGAGUAAUCAGCGAGAUUAGGAUUUUCUGUAAAGGGUGGUUGCCCCUAUCUGCUAUGCCAGUGGUUACUUAAAGACUUUUUUGGGUCAUUUAGGUUCCGGACUCAUCGAUAUUCACAAGUUCUAUCAGUAAAGCUACUAGUUGAGCUUAGCCUAGAAAGGAACGAAGAAUGAGGCAUCAGAGAAAUUGGGAUUUUCUGUAAAUGGGUGGUUGCCCCUCUCUCUGCUUUGCCAGUGAUUUCUCCAUUAAUGGAUCAAAUAAACCAACAACCCUUUGAAAUAAACAAGAAAAAAAAAAUCAUACCAAACACACCCCUAUAUUCUUCUUGCUCUUCCUCUUCCUCCCCUUUGUGCUGCGGCUAAUGUUGUAAAGGGGCUAUGAUGAUUGCUUGCUUUCCUUUCUGGGCUAUGUUCAAUCACGGCAUUGAGAAAAAAUGCGACCCUUAUCUUGGCAGGGCGACCCGGUUUUUGGGUCAUUUAGGUUCCGGACUCAUCGAUAUUCACAAGUUCUAUCAGUAAAGCUACUUGUUUGAGCAUAGCCUAGAAAGGAACGAAGAAUGAGGCAUCAGAGAAAUUGGGAUUUUCUGUAAAAGGGUGGUUGCCCAUCUCUGCUUUGCCAGCGAUUGCGCCAUUGAUGACCAAGAAAACCAACAGCCAUUUGAAAUAAACAAAAAAGAAAAAUUUCAUCCAAACACACCCUAUACACUUCUUGCUCUUUCUCAAAAUUAAAGACCAGUGCGUUUGAAGGUCAAUCCGUGCAAAAACUUCACUGGUUUGUUGUAAAUGGGCUGUGAUGAUUGCCUGCUUUCCUUUCUGGGUCAUGUCCUAUUAUACAAGUGAGAAAUUCCGAUCUGUAUAUUGGCAGAGUGACCUGGUUACGGCUUUGAGUAGCAAACUGGUGUCUGCAGCCAUGGCGGUGUCGCUCUUCUCUUUUGCUUUGUUAUGAAAUACAGGAAAUCUGAGCCCUCAAUCACCCAUUUCAUGGUCUUGGAUGGUGAGUCCAUUCUCGGGUCGGAAAGGCGUUAUGGGUUUGUGUUGAAAUUUCAGCUCUGAAGAAUGAGUCUUCGGUGAAUUUUGAAAUUUGAAGAUGAAAAAACCAAUGAACUUCCCCAAAUACCGAAAAGGUUAGCCCAGAAAGAAAGAAUUGAGGCAAAACAGAGAGUUCGGGAUUUUCUUUAAACGGUGGUUGCCCCUCUCUGUUGCGCCGUUGAUUCUUCAACAGCCCUUUGUUUUGUUUUUUUAUGAGAAAAGCAGAAAGAGAAAAUGCAAAAUGGAUUAACUUGAGCCGAGGGUCUAUCUGAAACAAACUCUCUACCCCAACAAAGCUUGGGUAAGGUCUACGUUCACCCCACGCUCCCCAGACCCCACUUAUGCGAUUACACUGAGUUUUUUUUGUUGCAAAAUUGGUUAACUUAUAUUCACGGUCUUUUCUUGUGUUGAUGGAAGGUACAUAAAGAGGCAGUGAUUAUGAUGUUUCUAUAUCUGGGCUAAGCAAUGCGGGCAUUGAGAUGACCUGACCCGUAUCUUGGUGUGGCAACCCCGUAUGGCUUGUGACUGAGACUUCUGUCUCUUACAUUCAACCGGUGUGUGCAGCCAUGGCGUGGCUGGCUUCUCGUUUGCCUUGUCAUAACACACAUCUGAGCCCUAUUUGCUAAAAAAAAAAAAAAAGGAGUAAAAUCUUUUGCAUGAUUGAAUUUUGGAUAUGUUGAACCUGCGAUUGUGUGCUAUAUAGAUCAGUUGCAGUCCUAAUGAAUCAUCAUUUUGUUAAUUAUCAUCUGAGCAUAGGCUAGAAAGAACGAAGAAUGAGGCAUUGGGGAGAUUGGGAUUCAGUAAAGGGUAGUUGCCUGCCCCUCUCUGCUAUGCCAGUGGCUUCUCCAUUGAUAACUUAAAAAUUAACAGCCCUUUGAAAUAAACAAGAAAAAGAACAAUAGAACUGUCAUCCAAAACAUACCCUUUUGGGCUAAGUUCAAUCAUUUCAUUGAGAAAAUAUCGGAUCCGUAUCUUGGCAGGGUGACCUAGUAUGGCUUUUGUAUAGCAAACUAGUGUCUGCAGCCAUGGCGGCAUCCCUUCUCAUUUGAGUUGUCAUAAAAUACAGAAAAUCUGAGCCUUCAGUAAGCGUUUCAUGAUUGUGAGUCCAUUGUCGGGUGUGAAAACCCAUACAGGACAAAAUUAUUUACUUAGACUAAAAGUGUUAACUUUUGGUAACCUUGAAGGACCAAAACUAUUAAGUGCAUACUUAAGGGACUACUUUGAACCUACUCUCAAACAUAAUGGACCAUUUUUGUCAUUUUCUGGGUAACAAUCAUCCAAACAAGCUGUAAAAGUUUUGCCCAUAAUACAUAGAGGUUCUACCAGAACCUUGUGUUUUCAUUUAGGUUCCAAGUUGAGCAUAGCCUAGAAAGGGAGAAGAAUAAGUUAUCAGAGAAAUUGGGAUUUUCUGUAAAAGGGUGGUUGCCCCUCUCUGCUUUGCCAGUGAUUUCUCCAUUAGUGGACCAAAAAAACAAACGGCCCUUUGAAAUAAACAAGAAAAAUAAAAACUUCAUUCAAACACACCCCCAUAAUCUUCUUGCUCUUCCUCUUUCUCCACUCUUUGUGCUGCUGCUGCUACGAAUGUCGUAAAUGGGCUGUGAUGAUUGCUUGCUUUCGUUUCUGGUCUAUGUUCAAUUAUAGCAUUGAGAAAAAUCCGACUCGUAUCUUGGCACAGCGACCUGGUUAUGGCUUUUGUACCGCAAACUGGUGUCUGCAGCCAUGGCUGCGUUGCUCUUCUCUCUUGCCUUGUUCCAAUACAGCAAAUCUGAGCCCUCAAUAACCCAUCACAACAACAACAUACCCAGUGGAUAACCCAUUACAGGUUUGCAUUGAAUUUUAGCUCUGAAGAAUUAGGCAUCAGAGAAAUUGGGAUUUCCUGUAAAGGGUGGUUGCCCAUCUCUGCCUUGCCAGUGAUUUGAUGACCAACGGCCUUUGAAAUAAACAGAAAGGAAAAAAAAAAGAAAGCAAAUUGUAUAAACUUCAUCCAAACACGCCCCUAUACCCUUCUUGCUCUUCCUCAAAAUUAAAGACCAUCCCAUUUGAAGGAUAAACUGUGCAAUUUUUUCAUUUUUGUGCUGUUGCUGCUGCUGCUGAUUGUAAAGGGGCUGUGAUGAUUGCUUGCUUCCUUUCUGGGCUAUGUUCAAUCAUGGCAUUGAGAAAAUCGAACCCGUAUCUUGGAAGGACGACCCUGUUACGGCUUUGACAUAGCAAACUGGUGUCGGCAGCCAUGGUGGUGUCAGUCUUCUCUUUUGCUUUGUUCAAAUACGGAAAAUCUGAUCCCUCAAUAACCCCAUUCGGGUCUGAAAACCCAGUACAGGUUUGUGUUGAAAUUUCAGCUCUGAAGAAAAAAGCAUUGGAGUAACAACCCUUUUUUAAACAGGUAAUUUCAGCCCUUUUCAGCUCGAUUUAAGAAAUAUCCUUUAUAUAGCAGCAAAAAAGGGAAAAAGAGAGCUGCGAAAUUCGGAGGUGAGAAAACCAAUGAAUUUCCCCAAAAUGGAAAAAAGCGUUAGCCCAGAAAUGUGGCAAAACAGUGAGUCUGGGAUCUUCGUUAAAGGGUGGUUGGCCCCUCUCUGUUCCGGCAUUGAGUUUCCUCCAAUAUCAAACACAACCAUCAGCCCUUUGUUUUAUGAGAAAAUGGAAGAUGCAAAAUGGAUUUAACUUGAGCCGAGGGUCUAUCUAAACUAGCCUCUCUACCCCACAAAGGUAGAGGUAAGGUCUGCGUCCACCACACCCUCCCAAACCCCACUUGUGCUAUUACACUAGGGGGUGGUUGUUGCAAAAUGGAUUUAACUUAUAUACUCAGUCUUUUCUUGUGUGUAUGUGUUUACUGUGUUGAUGGAAGGUACAUAAGGAGGCAGCGAUGAUGAUGUUUCUAUAUCUGGGUUAACCGAUUCAGGCAUGGAGAUGACCCGACCCGUAUCUUGGCAUGGAAACACGAUAUGGCCUGUGACUGAGACUUCUGUUUCUCACAUGCAACCGGUGUUUGGAGCCAUGGCGUGGUUGGAUUCUCUUUUGCCUUAUCAUACCACACAUCUGAGCCCCAUUUGCUUGAAAAGAAAAAAAGAAGAAUCUUUCCUUGUUAUUCAAUUUUGGGAUAUGGGGAACCUGUGAUUUUCUGCUACAAGCUAUAAAUCAUCUUGCAGUCCUAAUAUAUCAUCAUAUUUUUUCAGUAUCAGCUGAGCAUAGUCUAGAAAGGAAGAAGAAUGAGGCAUCAAAGAGAUUGGGAUUUUCUGUAAAGGGUGGUUGGCCCCUCUGCUUGCCAAUGAUUCUCCAUUUUAUAAAAUGAACAGCCCUUAAAGAGAAAAUGAAAUCAAUCUAGUGGUACAAUAGUACCCUGCAAUAGUACAGACCCGGGUUCGAUUCACGGCUGGUGCAAUUGACUUCCUUAUCAAAUCAAGGAAUUUCCCAAAAUCAGAAAUGAGAUUAGCCCAGAAAGAAAUGAGGCAAAACAGAGAGUUUGGGGUUUUGUUUCAAGGGGGUUGCCCCUCUCUGCUCCGCUGUUGAUUUUCCUCUAUUCACUGAAAAACUAACAACCUUGUCAUGGAAAUAACAGAAACAAGAAUGGAAAAUUGUAACUAAACAAUAUUGCUCCUCCUAGUACUACUGUAUAUCUUUCUUUCCUCUGUGUAUUGUUUUUUUGGUGUUUAUGGAAGGUACAUAAAGAGGCAAUGAUGAUGAUGUUUUUCUAUCUAGGCUAACUAAUUCGGGCAUGGAGAUUAUCUGACCCGUAUCUUGGCUUGGCAACGUGGUAUAGCCUGUGCCUUAGACUUCUCUCUCUCACAUGCUGCUAUACCUGCUGAAUGAAAUCAUUGAUCCAAUUCUCAGUCAAUAAGUAGGUGUUUCAACUUCUGGGAAUCAAACCCGGGUCUCUGGAGUUAGAGCCAAAUAUCCUAGCUGACUAGACUACAAUGGAAAAACAAGGCAAAAUGAAAGAGGCUGUGAUGAUAAUUCGUGUACACAUGGUAUUGGGAUUGAGUAAAAGAGGCUAGCUUCUUGGCAUGGCAACCCGAUUUUGUAGGUGCUUUGAGGUCACAUGCAACUUGGGUUGCAGCCAUGGCGGUUCUGCUCAUUUUCUAGUGCUAGAGUACAUAUCUGAGCUUCCUUUAUAUUCUAGGUUGUGUUGACCUUCUUGGCUCUAAAAGGUAAAGUGGUAAAUGGACAUCCUAUCAAAACGAUCCUGUUUAAAUUAAGCUGGAAAUGUGUUUGUAUUCUUGAAAACAUAUGCUUUAUACUAUGGCUUAUCAGCAAACUUAAAGGAUUAUUUUGAACCUAACCUCGAACAUAAGGGACCAUUUUUGUCAUUUUCUCCUUUAUCCUUUAAAAAUGUUUCUCUUCUGAUUCUCUUUUGGCACGCAGCAAAAAGCUAAAAGCUCAGAGAAAAAGAAUGAGGGUUGCAGAGAGUAGAGGGGAAAGUUCAAAAGGCUAUUGCUCCUCUUUGCAAUGCCUGUGAUUUCAUUUUUUGCUGAUUUUUUUUUCAACAGCCCCUUUCCGGUUAACCAGUACCAAACGACCCCUAAAGUAUUUGCUUGUUCUCCAAUGUGAGAAUCAUAUAGUAAUAAUAAUUGUAGCAAAAAUUCUGAGGCUGUGAUGAUGAUUUUCUUCUUAUAUUCUCUGAGCAUACCGAUUAGGGCAGGAGAAAAAUCAGACCCAUAUCUUGGCAGCGCGACCCAUAUGGCAGGUGAACUGCAACCGGUGCUUGCGGGCAUAGUGGUGAUUCCAGUCUCUCUUGCCUAUCGUAAGUAGAUCUGAGCCCCAAUGUUUGAUUUUUCUUAAAAAGGAUAGCCCUAAAAAGAAGACAUGAGGCAGAACAGAGAUCAUUGGGAUUCUUUUUGAAGGGUGGUUGCCACUCUCUGUUCCGCCAUUGAUAUUUCUCCAUUUUCAAACAACGAACAGCCCUUGUACAAACAGAACCAUACAGGAUUUAAGUCAUAUAUACCGUCGGUCGCCUAUGUGUGUGUGUGUGUUGUAUUUUUGGGUGUGAUGGAAGGUUUGUAAAGAGGCAGUGAUGAUGAUGAUGUUUCUAUAUCUGGGUUAACCGAUCCGGCGUGGAGAUGACCCGACCCAUAUCUUGGUGUGGCAACCCGGUAUGGCCUGUGACUGAGACUUCUGUUUCGCACAUGCAACCGGUGUUUGCAGCCAUGGUGUAGUUGGCUUCUCUUUUGCCUUAUCAUAACACUCAUCUGACCUCAUUUGAUUGAAAAGAAAGGGAAAAAAAGAACCUUUAUAAAAAAUAAAAAAUAAAAAAUAAAAAAGAUUCUUUUCCUGGGUUCAAUAUUGGGAUAUGCUGAACGUGCAACUUUCUGAGGCUCCUCUUGGUUAUUGAUUCAUUGAUCUGAUUAUAUGCAAAGGAUGUGGGUGUGUGUGUGUAUUUUAUGUUGUUCAUUCUUGGCUGUGUUUUCAACAGUGUACAAAUACAAAACUGUGUUUGUAAAAAGAAACACGCAAAAGGAAGUUUAGAAAGAGAGGCUAUGGUGACAAUUCUAAUGGGCACAUGGAAGUUGGCACUGAGUUUAAGAGGCCGUUCUUGGAGGGCAACCUGGUUUUGUAGUUUGCAUACACAGUGGAAAACCUAUUACAGGUCUGCGUUGAAAUUUCAGCUCUGAAGAAUGAGGCAUCGGAGAAAUUGGUAUUUUCUGUAAAGGGUGGUUGCCCAUCUCUGCUUUGCCUGUGAUUUGUUUCUAAAAAACCAACGGCCCUCUGAAAUAAUCAAGAAAAACAUAUAGAAACUUCAUCCAAACACCCCCCUAUACUCUGCUUGUUCUUUCUCUUCCUCUGUCUCUUUGUGCUGCUGCUGCUACUACUAAUAUUGUAGAUGGGCUAUGAUGAUUGCUUUCCUCUAUGGGCUAUGCUCAACAAUCAUGGCAUUUAGGGAAUAUCUGAUCCGUAUCUUGGCAGCGCGACCCGGUUACGGCUUUGAAUAGCAAACUGGUGUGUGCAGCCUUGGCGGUGUCGCUCUUCUCUUUUGCUUUGUUCAAAUACAGCAAAUCUGAGCCCUCAAUAACCCAUUUGGGUCGGAAAAUCCAUUAUGGGUUUGAGUUGAAAUUUAAGCUCUGAAGAAUGAGAUAUCAGAGAAUUUGAGAUUUUCUGUAAAGGGUGGUUGCCCAUCUCUGCUUUGCCAGUGAUUUCUCCAUUAAUGGACAACCAAGAGCCCUUUGAAAUAAACAAGAAAAACAAAAACUUCGUACCAAACACCCCUACUCUACUUGCUCUUCCUCUGUCUCAUUGUGCUGCUGCUGCUGCUACUUUCCUAAAGGGGCUAUGAUGAUUUCUUGGUUCCUUUCUGGGCUAUGUUCAAUCAUGGCAUUGAGAAAAGCCUGACCCGUAUCUUGGCAGGGCAACCCGGUCAUGGCUUUGAAUGGCAAACUGGUGUCUGCAGCCAUGGCAGCGUCGCUCUUCUCUUUCGCUUUAUUAAGAAAUACGGCAAAUCUGAGCCCUCAAAUAAUAAUGUUCUUUGAUCGUGAGUCCAUUCUCGGUCGGAAUUUCCCCAGAAAUGGAAAAAUGGUUAUCCCAGAAAUGAGGCAAAACAGAGAGUUUCGGAUUUUCUUUGAAGGGCAAUUGACCCUCUCUGUUCUGCCAUUGAUUUUCCUCCAUUAUCAAACAACCAACAGCCCUUUGUUUUAGAAAGCAACAAUAUACCCAGUGGGAUUCGGGAACGGUGGGGUGUACUUAGGUCUUACCCCUACCUUUGCGGGAUAGAGAGGCUGUUCCAAUAGACCCUGGCUCAAGAAAUAGCAUUUUCAAAACAUUUUUGAGUGUUUUAUGAGAAAAGCAAAAGAGAAAAUGGAAAAUUAACUCAUAUACAAUCUUUCUUGUGUGUAUGUUUUCAGUGUUUGAUGGUAGGUACAUAUAGAGGCAGUGAUGAUGGUGUUUCUAUGUCUGGGCUAACCGACUCAGGCAUGGAGAUAACCCUACCUGUAUCUUGGCGUGGCAAUCCUGUAAGGCCUGUGAUUGAGACUUCGCUCAGCCAUGGCGUGGUUGGCUUCUCGUUUGUGUUAUCAUAACAUACAUCUGAGCCCCAUUUGCUUGAAAAGAAAGAGGAAAAAAAAUAGAAUCUUUUGCAUAAUCCAAUGUUGGAAUAUGUUGAACCUGCGAUUUUCUGCUACAAGCUAUAAAUCAUCUUGCAGUCCUAAUGUAUCAUCAUAUUUGUUCAGUUUUAGCUGAGCAUAGCCUAGAAAGAACGAAGAAUGAGGGAUCAAAGAGAUUGAGAUUUUCUGUAAAGGGUGGUUGGCCCUCUCUGAUAUGCCCAUGAAUUCUCCAUUGAUAACCAAAAAGACCAGCCCUUCUAAAUGAACAAGAAAAUAAUUUUUUAAUUUUUUGAAGAGGAAUGGUCAUUUAAUGGAUCUUAAUGGGUUAGCCAGGGACAUUGAUUGUGAUCAUGUUGGCACAUAUUUAACCAGCUUUGUUGGUGAUGGCACUGUUGUACUCCCUUGCACGCAGAACAAUGCUUGAAUUGCUUAAAGAUGGUGGUUUUGCAAUAUCCAAUCCAGAAAUUGACACAAUCCUUCAAGAAUUCAGAGAGAAUAUAAUAUCCGCCCUUAUCAAUGAGGUCAGUUGUUUUAUCAAGGAAGCUACAUAUUUGAUCUCUGCUCUACUUCCAAGGAGCAACCAUUCCCUUGUUUCCUUCCUACUUCUCACGAUAAUAACACAAACACAAUAGAAGAUUGCAGAAAGAAAAUAUAGUUAAUUCUAUUAAUGAAAAAAAUGUUUCAUUGUUACAAUUAAUGAUGUCUACAAGUAAGCACUUCAAAACUGAUGCUGAAACUUCAAUUGAUUUUCAGCCAUAUGCCCUUCAUUCCACCACCCUAAAUGUUUUGCCCUCUUUAUAAACACAAGUUCUACUAGUGAAGCUACAAGUUGAGCAUAGCCUAGAAAGGAAGAAGAAUUGAGGCAUCAGGGAAAUUGGGAUUUUCUGUAGAAGGGUGGUUUCCCCUCUCUGCUUUGCCAGUGAUUUCUCCAUUGCUGACCAAAAAAACCAACAACCCUUUGAAAUAAACAAGAAAAACAAAAACUGCAUGCCAGAAACAAACCACUAUACUCUUCCUUUUUCUCCACUCUUUGUGCUGCUGCUGUUGCUAGUUGCUACUGAUGUGUUGUAAAUGGGCUAGGCUAUGCUCAAUCAUGACAUUGAGAAAAAUCCGACCCGUAUCUUGGCAGGGCGACCCAGUUACGGCUUUGAAUAGCAAACUGGUGUCUGCAGCCAUGGUGACGUCGCUCUUCUCUUUUGCCUUGUUAAGAAAUACAGCAAAUCUGAGCCCUCAGUAACCAUUUGGGGUUGUUGAAAUUUGAAGAAAUUGCACGGUUCGCCUUUCAAACGGACUGGUCUUUAAUUUUUGCCCUUCAAAUGAGUUCAGCUUCGAAGAAUGAGGCAUCCGAGAAAUUGGGAUUAGGAUGGUUGCCCAUCUCUGCUUUGCCAGUGAUUUCACCAUUGAUGACCAACACACCUUUAAGCAAGGAACAUAAAGAGGUUUAACUAUAUGUGCACUGAGAUAUCUGUGUUUCUUCUGUAUAUGUGUGUGUGUUUUUCGGUGUUGAUGAAAGAUACAUAAAGGGGCGUACAUAAAGAGGCAGUGAUGAUGAUGCUUCUAUGUCUGGGCUAACCAAUUUGGGCAUUGAGAUUACCCAACCCGUUUCUUGGUGUGGCAACCCGGUAGACCUGUCCCUCACAUGCAGCCAUGUGUGCAGCCAUGGCUUGGUUGGCUUCUUUUUUGCCUUAUCAUAACACAUAUCAGAGCCCUGUCUGCUUGAAAAGAAAAAAUAUAGAAUCUUUUCCGUGAUUCAAUGUUACAAUAUGUAGGACCUUUCUGCUACAAGCUGUAAAUCAUCUUGCACGUCCUAAUGUAUCAGCAUAUUUGUCCAGUAUCAACUGAACAUAGCCUUGAAAGGAUGAAUAAUGAGGAAUCAGAGAGAUUAGGAUUUUCUGUAAAGGUUGGUUGCCCCUCUCUCCCAUGCCAGUGAUUUCUCCAUUGAUAACCAAAAGGUCAACAGCCCUUUGAAAUAAACAAGAAAAAGAAAAACAAUAAAAUUUGGAACUGUUUGGCCAUGAGAAUUAUUAGUGAAGCUACAAAGUGAGCCUAGCCAGAAUGAGGCAUCAGAGGAAUUGGGAUUUUCUGUAAAAGGGUGAUUGCCCAUCUCUGCUUUGCCAGUGAUUUCUCCAUUAAUUGACCAAGAAACCAACAGCCCUUUGAAAUAAACAAGAAAAAAAGAAGAAAUUGCACUGUUCGCCCUUCAAAUUGGCUGGUCUUUCACCCCUAUACUCUUCUUGCUCUUCCUCUCUCUCCUGUAUCUGUGCUGCUACUAAUGUUGUAAAUGGCUGUGAUGAUUGCUUGUUUUCCUUUAUGCGCUAUGCUCAAUAAUUGCAUUGAGAAAAAUCCGAUGGCUUUGGUAUAGCAAACUCGUGUCUGCAGUGAUGGCGGUGUCGCUCUUCUCUUUUGCUUUGUUCAAAUACAGCAAAUCUGAGCCCUCAAUAACCAUUUCGGGUCGGGAAACCCAUUACAGCUUGUUGAAAUUUGAAGAAAUUGCACGAUUUGCCCUUCAAACGGACUGUUCUUUAAUUUUUGCCCUUCAAAUGGGCUCAGCUUCGAAGAAUGAGGCAUCGAAGAAAUUGGGAUUUUCUGUAAAGGGUGGUUUCCCAUCUCUGCUUUGCCAGUGAUUUCUCCAUUAAUGGACCCAAAAAAAGCAACAACCCUUUGAAAUAAACAAGAAAAACAAAACCUUCAUACCAAACACACCCCUAUCUCUCUCUUUGUGCUGCUGCUGCUGCUACUGAUGUUGGUAGAGGGGCUGUGAUGAUUGCUUGCUUUCCUUUCUGGGCUAUGUUCAAUUACGGCAUUGAGAAAAUGUCAGACCCGUGUCUUGGCUGGGCGACCCGGUUACGGCAUUUGUACAAAAAACUGGUGUCUGCAGCCAUGGCGGUGUCGCUCUUCUCUUUUGCUUUGUUAAGAAAUACAGCAAAUCUGAGCCCUCAAUAACAAUUUCGGGUUGAAAAAUCCGUUACGGGUUGUUGAAAAUUGAAGAGAUUGCAUGGUUUGCCUUUCAAACGGACUGUUCUUUAAUUUUUGCUCUUCAAAUGGGCUCAGCUUCAAAGAAUAAGGCAUCGGAGAAACUGUGAUUUUCUGUAAAGGGUGGUUGCCCAUCUCUGCUAUGCUAGUGAUUUCACCACUGAUGACCAAACAAACCAACAGCCCUUUAAACAAGGAACAUAAAGAGGUUUGACUGUAUGUACACUGAGAUAUCUGUGUUUCUUCUGUGUAUGUGUGUGUGUUUUACAGUGUUGAUGUACAUAAAGAGGCAGUGAUGAUAAUGAUGUUCCUAUAUCUGGGCUAACCAAUUCGGACAUGGAGAUGACCCGGCCCGUAUCUUGGUGUGGCAACCCGGUAUGGCUUGUGACCAAGGCUUCUGUCUCUACCAUGCAACCAGUGUUUGCAGCCAUGGCGUGGUUGGCUUCUCUUUUGCCUUAUCAUAACACACAUCUGAGCCUGAUUUGCUUGAAAGGAAAAAUAUAGAAUCUUUUCCGUGAUUCAAUGUUGGAAUAUUUGGAUCCUUUCUGCUACAAGCUAUAAAUAAUCUUGCAAGUCCUAAUGUAUCGCCAUAUUUGUUCGGUAUCAGCUGAACAUAGCCUUGAAAGGAUGAAGAUUGAAGAAUCAGAGAGAUUAGGAUUUUCUGUAGAGGGUGGUUGCCCCUCUCUGCUAUGCCAGUGAUUUCGAUUGAUAACUAAAAAAUCAACAGCCCUUUGAAAUAAACAAGAAAAAGAAAACAAUAAACUUUGGAGCUGUUUGGCCAUGAGAAUUAUUAGUGAAGCUAGUGAAACUAUAAGUUGAGCAUAGCCAGAAUGAGGCAUCAGAGAAAUUGGGAUUUUCUCUAAAAGGGUGGUUACCCCUCUCUGCUUUGCCAGUGUGAUUUCUCCAUUAAUGCACCAAAAAAACCAACAACCCCUUUAAAAUAAACAAGAAAUAAAAAAAGAAAUUGUAUGGUUUUCCCUUCAAAUGCUCUGGUCUUUCACCCUUAUACUCUUCGUUUUUCUCCUUUCCUCUCUUUGUGCUGCUGCCACUAAUGUUGUAAAUGGGCUGUGAUGAUUGCUUGCUUUCCUUUCUAGGCCAUGUUCUAUUAUAGCAUUGAGAAAAAUAUGACCCUUAUCUUGGCAGGGCGACCCUGUCACGGCUUUGAAUAGCAAACUGGUGUCUGCAGUCAUGGCGACGUCUCUCUUCUCUUUUGCUUUGUUCAAAUACAACAAAUCUGAGCCCUCAACAACCCAUUCGCGUCGGAAAACGUUUGCGUGGGAAUUUCAGCUCUGAAGAAUGAUUCUCUUAGUAGGCAUUUGGCCAUAGAUUCCAAAUAUUUUCACUAAAAGCUGAGAGGAAAAGAAUGAGGGUUGCAGAGGCCAUAGAUUCCAAAUAAAUUCAACAGCCCUUUUACAGUUAAACAGUAACCAAACGACCCCUGAAGCUUCUUUUUUUUUUCUCCCGCUGAUCAUCUUCAAAUUCUCCCUCCCAAAAGGAGAAUCAAUAGUAACAAUAAUAAUAAUAUUGUAGCAAAAAUUCUGAGGCUGUGAUGAUUAUGUUCUUAUUUCUUUCUCUGAGCGAAAUCGAUAGGACAGGAGAAUAAUUGGACCCGUAUCAUGGCGGGGCAACCCGGAUGGAAGGUGAGCUGCAACCGGGCUUGCAGCCAUGGCAGCGGUUCCAAUCUCUCUUACCGUAUCAUAAGUAUCUGAGCCUCGAUGUGUAAUUUUUUUUUACGGAAAAGGGUCAAAUAUACCCCCGUCCCCGUACUAUCAGAAAUAGUUUAAAUAUACCCCUCGUUAUACUUUCGGUCCAAAUACACCCCUUCCAGAAUUUGUCCUUGAGUUUGAGGAGGGAUACAUGUCGGGCUCAGAAUCAAAUGACCCACCCCAAUUUUAAAUAUCUGAUUCCUUUAGAAACCCACUCAUUUAAUCCGACCGUACCCAUUUUCUUUUCUUCUUCUUGUAAAUACAGCUGGGAGAUGACCCGACACGUAUCUUGGCCGGGCAAGCUGGGCGGCAGGUGACCUGAAACCGGUGUUUGCAGCCAUGGUGGUGUCUUCAAUCUCUUGCUGUAUGGUACUUAUUACGAGAAAAAGCCCAAAAUUAUCCCUUAUCUUUGAGCUUAGACUCAAAGUCAUCCUUUGUUUUUUCAUAUGGAGCACUAAUAGUACUCAUCUUUACAAUUUUGGUGCACUUUUAGUCCAAGAGAGAGAAGUCUUGGGGAGCCUCGAUGUUUGAUUUUCUUAAAUGCAGCUGGGAAAUUCGCAUACAUGAGAAUUUCCUUGUGUGUUUACUGUGUUGAUGGAAUGUUUCUAUAUUUGCGCUAACCAAUGCGGGCAUCAGAUGACCCAACCCGUAUCUUGGCGUGGCAACCCGGUAUGGCUUGUGACUGAGACUUCUAUCUCUCACAUGCAACCGGUGUGUGCAGCCAUGGUGUGGCUGGCUUCUCUUUUGCCUUUUCAUAACACAUCUGCACUCAGUUGCUUGAAAGGAAAAAAAAAACUUUUUCGUGAUUCAAUGUUGGAAUAUGUAAGCUAUAAAUCAUCUUGCAAGUCCUAAUGUAUCACCAUAUUUGUUCAGUUGAACUGAACAUAGCCUUGAAAGGAUGAAGAAUGAGGAACCAGAGAGAUUAGGAUUUUCUGUAAAGGGCGGUUGCCCCUCUCUGCUAUGCCAGGGAUUUUGAUUGAUAACCAAAAAAUCAACAGCCCUUUGAAAUAAACAAGAAAAAGAAAAACAAUAAAAUUUGGAGCCGUUUGGCCAUGAAAAUUAUUAGUGAAGCUACAAGUUGAGCAUUGCCAGAAUGAGGCGUCAGAUAAAUUUGGAUUUUCUGUACAAGGGUGGUUGCCCCUCUGCUUUGCCAGUGAUUUCUCCAUUGAUGAACAAAAAAACCAGCAGCCCUUUAAACAACGAACAUAAAGAGGUUUGACCAUGUUACACUGAGAUAUCUGUGUUUCCUCUGUGUAGGUGUGUGUUUUACGGUGUUGAUGAAGGUACAUAAAGAGGCAGUGAUGAUGAUGUUUCUAUGUCUGGUCUAACCAAUUGGGGCAUUGAGAUUACCCAACCCGUAGCUUGGCGUGGCGACCCGGUAUGGCCUGUGACUGAGACUUAUGUCUCUCACAUGCAACCAGUUUUGCAGCCAUGGCGUGGUUGGGGUCUCUUUUGCCUUAUGAUAACACACAUCUGAGCCCCAUUUGCUUUGAAGAAAAAAAGAUAGAUUCUUUUUCAUGAUUCAAUGUUUGUAUGUUGAACCUAUGAUUUUCUGGUACAUGUUAUAAAGUAUCUUAAAGUCCAAAUGUAUCUUCAUAUUUGUGCAGUAUCAGCUGAGCAUAGCCUAAAAAGAAAGAAGAAUGAGGCAUCAGAGAGAUUAGGAUUUUCUGUAAAGGGUGGUUGCUCUUCUUUUCUAUGCCAGUGAUUUCUCCAUUGGUACCAAAAUAUCAACAGCCUAAUAAACAAGAAAAAGAAAAACAAUAAAAUUUGGAGCUGUUUAGCCAUUAGAAUUAUUCACUUUUUUUCUGGAGUAAUUUUUCACUUUAUUUCAAAAUCAGUGUUUGGUUAUAAAAUUUUCAAAUCCGACUUGGAGUCGGAUUCCUAAUUUGGAAAUGUGCUUCAAACCUGUUUUCCAACUCCUUUAUAAUUCCAAAUAAAGUGCUCUCUUCUCUUCUUUGCAACAAGUGUAACCAAACACUACUUCAUUUUCAACUCCAACUUCAUAAAUUCCAAAUAAAGUGAAAAAUAUUUGAAAUCUAUGGCCAACGCCUACUAAAACUGUCAUCCAAACGCACCCUUUUGGACUAUGUUCAAUCAUUGGAUUGAGAUUACUGGACUUGUAUCUUGGCAGGGCGACCCGGUAUGGCUUUUGUAUAGCAAAUUGGUGUCUGCAGCCAUGGCGGUGUCCCUUCUCUUUUGCUUUGUCAUAAAAUCAGCAAAUCUGAGCUUUCAAUACUGGUUUCAUGUUCAUCAAUGGUGAGUCCAUUCUCGGUGGGAUUAAUCCAUACAAGUUUGUGCUGAAAUUUCCAGCUCUGAAGAAUGAGGCAUCGGAGAAAUUUUUGGGGAUUUCUGGGGUGUUUGACCAUCUCUGACUUGCCUAUGAUUUAUGUGUCAAGCCAAACACCCUUCUUCUGUGUGUACACACGGGUAUAUAUACAGCAACAACAACAAAAUACCUGGUGUAGUCCCCACAAAUGGGGUCUGGGAAGGUGGGGUUAACGCAGACCCUACCCCUACCUUUGUGGGGUAGAGAGGCUGUUUCAGAAACAUCGCCUGAGAGAUUCGAACUCUCACAGGGAAACCCCAUGUACUUAGCAGGCACACGCCUUAACCACUCGGCCAAACCGACACUUGUUUGGAUGGUUCUUCUCGUUGUGUAGUUACUUUGAUAGCUAUACAUUAAAAAUAUGGAGAAGAAUUAGAAUCCGGUGAUAAAAAAGACAUAAAUGGUCUCUUAAGUUCAUGGAUGGUAGGCUUGACCCUUGGGGUGCUCCCUUUCAAGGUCUCAAGUUCGAAACCCACUGGGUGCAAACAAUUUCUGAGGGCCAUCGGACUGAGGUAAAACCCUGAAUUACCCGUGGUGCACUUGCGGGAAACUCCUUGCCGAGGGCCUGUGCACCCCCGGGAUUAGUCGGGGCUCAAAGAGACCCGGACACCCGGUGCUUAAUCAAAAAAAAAAAAAAAGUUCAUGGAUGGUAGGUCUUUAAUAGGGCUGUGAUGAUUGAUUUUUCUGAGCUUGAUGGAAUCAGUGUUAUCAAAAGCGAAAAAAGCUCUAAGGUCAGUUGGGGCUUUAAGCGCGAAGCGCAUAUAAAGCGUGGGCUUUAAUGAAAAAAAGCGCAAUGGUGCAAAAAUACAAAUAUAUAUAUGUUUAGUCCAAGAUUAAUAAUAAUAAGCAUGAAUAACAAAUAUAUGGACAAAGAAAUCGUAAAAAUAUUAAGAUAAAGUGAAAUAUCAAUCAUCUAGUGUCACCUCCUCAAUAGAGGCUCAUUGGCAAGGAAAAGUAUGUCUUAGAGCCUUGAUGACGACACUGAAGCGCACAUAAAGCGAGGCGAAGCGCUCAACAUGUUUUGAGCCUCGCUUUAAGCGCGCCUUUGAUAACACUGGAUGGAUUCAGGAUUUGCAGCCAUGGCCGUGUUAAGAUUUCCGUGCCCGAGAUGGAAUACAGAUCUGAGCCUCAGAAUCUUUCUUAUUAUCACAUAUAUAUUUAACCAAUUUGUUGUGUUUCAAUUUUCAGCUUGCUUUCUGUUUGAGAUGGACAUCUUUUGUUUCUCAGUACUUAAUGGUCAACUUUUGCAAUGAAAUGUUUUUGUUGGGGUAGUUCAUUUGAAUUAGGUCCUUGCAGAAUUUUGUUACUUCUAUUUGAGUAGGAAAGUUGUAAAGCAUUACUUCGCGUUCUGGAAAUUGAAACCAAAAUGAAUAGAGGAAAAUAAUUAGAUAGGUUAGCUUCUUUCCUAUGUUUGCUAAAGGGCAGGCUAUAAUAGAGUUUGAAAGAGGGAGGUGGAGCCCAGAAGAAAGAAUAAGGCCGACAGGGGUAAGAGGGACUUUUAGGAAGGUGGUUGACCCCUCUGCUUGGCCUAUGAUUUCUCAAUUAACAAAACCAACAGCCCUCUUCUUCUGAAAACCAAGAAAACAAAUAUAUGGCGCCUUCGCUGUUUGGUGUUACUGGAUCUUUAGUCCAAAACUUCCACAAUUUCUUGAAAUCUAUUGAAGAAUAAACAUUUUCUUAAAGAGGCCAUGAUGAUAUUGUUCAUCGGGGCAUUUGCACAAAUGGCCUUUUCUAAGGCCACUAUUUAAAUUUUGUCCUCAUUUCCAUCCGGGCAUCGAGACAUCCCGACCCGUAUCUUGGCUUGGCUAGAACUGGAAUGGUCUGUGAUUUGAGGCUUCACUUUCACAUGCAAUCGGUUCUUUUGCAGCCAUGUCGUGGUCACCUUCUCUUUGCCCCAUUAGAAAACUGAGAUCUGAGCCUCAUUAUUUCCUUCCUGAGAACCCGGGAAUCGAACACGAGACCUUCUUUGACGGAAAGAGAUCAAUAACACCGUUUUUAUGCAACCAUUGAUUAGUCUUCAAUGGAAAGUUGUUCUCUGGAAUUGGGAUUCUUCAGUUUUAUGUGUUAGACUGACGUGAUAACCAACUACACCAGGCAACCUUUUUAGUAUGCAUGUUUCUGCAUAUGAUUAUAUGUGGAUUUGUGCUUGUGUUUCAGUCGUAUAAUUGUGUCCUCACUGGCUGUGUUCCAAAGAAAUGAACUCCAAAAGCGGAAGCAAUAUGGCUGUGAUGAUAAUGUCUGCUGGGCUAGUAACAUCGGGUAUUGGAUUUUUGUUGCCUGUAUCUUGGCGUGGCAACUUGAAUUUCUGCAAUUUGCAGCCAUGGCAAGUGCCAGAAUAGUCAAUGCCCCAGAUAUAAAUCUGAGCCUCCAGUUGAAACCAAUGCAUUAACAGUACUAGUAGUAGUGGUACUUGGACCUCAAUCUGAUUAAUGAGGCUUAAUAUAAAGUAUCCCAGUUUCUUGAAAAUUAUGCAACCAUUUUCUUGAAGUGGCAAUGAUGAUAUUUGCUUAUCUGGGCUUUGCAAAUAAAGACAACCAGACCCGUAUCUUGGCUUGGCAAACCCCAGAUGCUAUGUGAUUUAAGGCUUCUCUAUUACAGGCAACUGGUACUUUUGCAGCCAUGGCAUGGUCUCUUUCUCUUGUCCUAAUAACCCAGAUCUGAGCCUCCAAGUAGUCAUGGACAUUGUUUGGUGGAAACCCAUUUUCACUUAUUCUGAAAGCCAGCUCAUAAAUGAGGCAUCAAUGAGAAAUGGGAAUUGUUUAUUUAUUUAUUUAAUUAUUUGUUCAUCCAGUCAGUUUUUCUACUGAUGGUUCUCUUGACUUGCUGCUGCAUGGCUGCGUGAGGACCAACACCGAGAAUCAUACUGGAAAAAAGUGAGAAAUUGAGGCAGUGAUGAUAUGGUUCUUGGUAGCAGUUGCCAGGUUUAGGGCGGCAAGAGAUGGUUCUGUGAGCGAAUCUAAGUCCAAAUUCUACUUGAACUCUGUCUGACAUAUAUAGAAAACUUGCCAUUUUUUGAUCCUAGAUUCUUGUCCCUUAAUUCAUUAUAACUGUUCUCCGAUGGAAAAAUCCAUUGCUAUUUUCUUUUCCCUUUUUCACCAUGGAGGUAUGGCGAAUUGGUCAGAACUUCCAUACGAUCUUGUUACAAUAGCGAAGCGUGUUACAAUUAUGGAGGAUUUUGUUUUAUUGGUGCUGUUUGCAUGGCGAUGUGCUGCUACUAAAGAAAAUUUUGGUGUCUCCAUCUCCCCAAGUUCCUUUGCUUAUGCUGACUGCUGAUAAAAUAAGGAUGACGAUUACCGAGAAUUUUACUCUGUUUCCAAGGAGAAAACUUCAAGCAGAGUCUUUCUCCCAUAAGCUAAGGGCGAGUGUGUCUUUCAACACAGGGAUGGCUUUGCGCUGUGCAAUAUACAGGUGUCGGAGAGAUGACGUUGUUGCAUCCUUUCUCACGCACCCAAAUUCAGCUUCCUCCAAACACAAUCCCUAUUCUCUUCUUGCUCUUCCUCUGUCUCUUUGUGCUGCCGCUGCCGCUACUGAUGGUGUAAAAGGGCUAUGAUGAUUGCUUGUUUUCCUUUCUGGGCUAUGUUCAAUCAUGGCAUUGAGAAUAGAUACGAUCCGUAUCUUGGCAGGGCGACCCGGUUACGCUUAGAAUAGCAAACUGGUAUCUGCAGCCAUGGCGGCGUCGCUUUUCUCUUUUGCUUUCUUCAAAUACAGCAAAUCUGAGCCCUCAAUUGAAAUCUCAGCUCUGAAGAAUGAGGCAUCAGAGAAAUUGGGAUUUUCUGUGAAAGUGUGGUUGCCCAUCUCUGUGUUGCCAGUGAUUUGGCCAUUGCUGACCAAAAAAACUAACAGCCCUUUGAAAUAAACAAAAAGGAAAAUAAAGAAAAUAAAUUGAAAAAACUUCAUCCAAACAGACACCUAUAUUCUUCUUGCUCUUCCUCUGUCUCUUCAUGCUGCUGCUGAUGUUGUAAAAGGGCUAUGAUGAAUUGAUGAUUGCUUGCUUUCCUUUCUGGGCUAUGUUCAAUCAUGGCAUUGAGAAAAAACCUGACCUGUAUCUUGGCAGGGCGACCCGGUUACAGCUUUGAAUAGCAAACUGGUGUCUGCAGCCAUGGCGCCGUCGCUCUUCUCUUUUGCUUUGUCAAGAAAUACAGCAAAUCUGAGCCCUCAAUAACCCAUUUCAUGGUCUUCAAUGAUGAGUCCAUUUUGGGUAGGAAAACCCGUCACGGGUUUGUGUGGAAAUUUGGGCUCUGAAGAAUCGAGGGAGAAAAUGACAAAAAUGGUCUAUGUCCAAAAUAGUCCCUUACACUUACCAAUUUUGGCCCUUUAAGUUUGCCAAAAGUUAGCACUUCUCAUCUCCGUAAAUAUCUAUUAGAACUCUCUUAGAUUUGACGGAAAGAGUUAGCGGGAAGUCACAUUAGAGAAAAUUUUGGUGUUUGACCUUCUCCGAUAUGCCGGUGAUUUAGCUGUCAAGCCAAAGAAUUACCCCAAAAAUGGAAAAUUUUGGAUUGAUUUUCUGAGCUUGAUGGUAUCAGGAUUUGACAGGCCGUAUGUUGGCAGUCCGGUUUCAGGAUUUGCAGCCAUGGCGCUGUUGAGAUUUCCAUGCCCAAGAUGGAAUACAGAUAUGAGCCAUUUGGAGUUUUUUUCCGCCAUUUAGGUUCCGGACUAGUAUGUGUGUGUUUGUGUUGUAGAGUGUUGAUGGAAGGUACAUAAAGAGGCAGUGAGGAUGAUGUUUCUAUAUCUGGGCUAACCAAUUCGGGCAUGGAGAUAAUCCGUCUGUAUCUUGGUGUGGCAACCCGAUACGGCCUGUGACUGAGACUUCUGUCUCUCACAUACAACCGGUGUUUGCAGCCAUGGCAUGGUUGGCUUCUGUUUUGCCUUAUCAUUACAUCUGAGCCCCAUUUGCUUGAAAAGAAAGAAAGAAAAAGAAUCUUUCCAUGAUUCAUUCAUUUGUCCUCACUGGCUGUGUUCCAAAGCAAUGAACUGGAAAAGGAGAAACAACAGGGCUGUGAUGACAAUGUUAGCUAAUUAAAAGAAGUAACAAUGGAGGUUGAGCCCAGAAGGAAGAAUGAGGCCAACAGGGUAAGAGAGACUUUUAGGAGGGCGGUUGUCCCCUCUGUUUGGCCUAUGAUUUCUCAAUUAUAACAAAAUUAACAGCCCCAUUCUUUCUUUCCUCGAGGGAAACCAAGAAAGUAAAUAUCUGGCGCCUUCGCCGUCAGGCGUUACUGGAUCUUUAGUCCAAAACUUCCACAAUUUCUUGAAACCUAUAGAAGAUUAACCAUUUUCUGUAUGCAUGUUUCUGCACGAGUAUAUGUGGAUUUGUGCUUAUGUUUCAGGCAUCUUAAUUUGUCCUCACUGGCUGUGAUGAUAAUGUUAGCUAAUUAAAAUCGGGCAUUAGAUUUUUGUUGCCCUGUAUCUUGGCAUGGCAACUUGAAUUUGUGCAAUUUGCAGCCAUGGCAGGUGCCAGAAAACUCGAUGCCUGUGAUACAAAUCUGAGCCUCCAGUUGAUGGCAAAGCAUUAACACUAGUACUAGUAUUACUUGGACUCAGUCUGAGUUAUGAGUUUUUAAUCCAAAGUAUCCUAAUUUCUUGAAAAUUAUGCAACCAUUUUCUCAAAGUGGCAGUGAUGAUAUUUGCUUAUCUAGGCUUCGGGAAUAGAGACAAUUGGACCCAUAUCUUGGCUUGGCAAACCCCAGAUGCUAUGUGAUUUGAGGUUUCUCUAUCACAGGCAACCGGUACUUUUGCAGCCAUACGUGAACUUUUUUUUUUUUUUUUUUUUUUCCAUUCAGUCAGUUAUGCUAGUAAGCCCAAGAUUUCUUGCUGCUGCUACUGAGGAUUAUCUUUGUCUUGCUGCUGCAUGGCUGUGUGAACACCUAAACAGCAAGAAUCAUACUAGAAAAAGGUGAAAAUUGAGGCAGUGAUAAUAUGGUUCCUGGCAAAUAGCAUUGUUGAUUUGCAUUGGUUCACAGGUUACAUAUAUACAACAGUUAAGGAGAAAAUGAGCAAAGCAAAAGCUCAGAAGGGAAAGAAUGAGGCUACAGAGAGUUUAAGGAUUUUUCAUUGAAAGGGUGGUUACCUCUCUCUGCAUUUAGCCUAUGAUUUCUCAUAAAACAAUCCCAACAGCUCUUUCUUCUGGAAUAUUUGCAUGGAACUGUUGAUUUUCAUAGGGAAAUUUGCACAAAUAUGACCCUUUAUUUAAUGCUUCCACUGGAGAAUUCAGUGCUACCGGUGGAAGUAGUAGUGGCGAGUAUAAUCAACGGCUUGAAAGAGGCGAUGAUGGUUCUGUCAAAUUUCCUUAAUUUGCAUUCCCUUCUGAGCUUUUUAAUCGGGCAUUUGAGAUAUCCGACCCGUAUCUUGGCUGGGCAUGCCCCCAGAUUUUUCUGGUGGGUUUUUGCAGCCAUGGCGUUGGCGGACUCUCCUUUUUGUCCAAGUUUAACCAGAUCUGAGCCUCGAUUUUUCUCUAUGCACGAUAUAGCCAAUAUUGCAUGGUAUAGCCAAUUUUUGCAUGGAUAGCCAGUUCUUGGUCUGCUGUUUUACAUAGGGAAAUUUGCACAAAUAGAAUCUUUGGUUCACUAUGCUUCCGCUGGAGCACUCAAUAUUGUCGGUGGAAGUGAUGGUGGUGAGUAUAAUCGAUGGCUUUAAGGAGGCGAUGAUGAUUUUUCUCAAAUUUGUCGUUCCCUUCUGAGCAUUUAAUCGGGCAUUUGAGAUGAUUCGACCUGUAUCUUGGCAGGGCAUUCAAACCAAAUUUUCUUCUGGUUUUUGCAGCCAUGGCAUUGCUGGACUCUCCUUUUGCCCAGCUUAACAUGAAUCUGAGCCUCAAUUUUUCUCUAUGCAUGGUAUAGCCAACUUUUGGGACUGCUGUUUUACACAGGAAUAAUUUGCACAAAUUGGAUCUUUUGAAUCUUUGAUGCACUAUGCUUCCUCUGGAGCACUCAAUGCACUGUGCCGUUUUGGAAAAUGUAUAUAUAGUUGUUUUACGUUUUCAAUAGAGAAUUCACUAGUUCAAUUUUGCCUCAAUUUUUCUAUAUGCCGUUUUGGGAAAUAGAUAUACAUUUGUUUUUGUUUUCAAUUGUGAAUUCAAAAGUUCAAUUUUGCCUCAAUUUUUCUCUAUGCCGUUUUAGAAAAUGGAUAUACAGUUGUUUUUCGUUUUCAAUUGCCAAUUCACAAGUUCAUUAUGGAUCUAAUUGGAAAUUCCAGUGAAAUAGCUGUAGAAGCAAACUCCUCGUCCAGUCCGUUUCCCGGCGAUAUCGAGUUGUAUGUUUCUAUGCUCAAAAAGCCCUAAUCCCUUUUCUCCCAAUGAUUUGCUGGAGCCAUGGUGUGUUUGGCUUCUGUUUUGCCUUAUCAUAGCAUACAUCUGAGCCCCAUUUGCUUGAAAAGAACAAAAAAAGAAAGAAAGAAUCCUUCCAUGAUUCAAUUUGGGAUAUGCUGAACCUGCGAUUUUCUGCUACAAGCGAUAAAUCAUCUUGGAGGCCUAAUGUAUCAUCAUAUUUGUUUAGUUUUAGCUGAGCAUAGCCUAGAUAGAAGAAUGAGCCAUUGGAGGGAUUGGGAUUUUCUGUGAAGGGUGGCUGCCCCUCUCUGCUUUGCCAGUGAUUUCCAUUGAUAAUCAAAAAUUCAGCAGCCCUUUGAAAUAGAUAAGAAAAAGAAAAAAAAAGUUGUCAUUCAAACACACACUUUUGGACUAUGUUCAAUCAUUGCAUCGAGAUUAUCGGACCCGUAUCUUGGCGGCGCGACUUGUUAUGGCUUUUGUAUAGCAAACUGGUGUCUGCAGCCACGCCUGUCUCUCUUCUCUUUUGCUUUGUCAUAAUAUCAACAAAUCUGAAGUCUCAAUAAUGGUUUCAUGUUCUUCGAUGGCGAGUCCAUUCUCGGUGGGAAAACCCAUACAGGUUUGUGCUUAAAUUUCAGCUCUGAAGAAUGAGGCAUCGGAGUAAGCUUUGGGGAUUUCUGGGGUGUCUGACCAUCUCCGACUUGCCGAUGAUUUAUGUGUCCAGCCAAACACCCUUCUUCUGUGUAAUAUAUAUACGUUGGUGGACAAUCCUGUUUUGAUAGUUGUUAUCAUUGUAUUGUAUUGUUGCUUUGAAAAGCUAUACAACAAAAAUAUGGAGAUGAAAUGAUAAUGGGGCGACAAAAAGACCUCAAUGGGUUCCUUAAGUUCAGCAUAGGUCUUUAAUUGGGCUGUGAUGAUUGAUUUUUCUGAGCUAGAUGGAAUUAGGAUUUGAUACCAUAUCUUGGCGGGGCAGACCGGUUAUAGGAUUUGCAGCCAUGGCGGUGUUGAGAUUUCCGUGCCUGGGAUGCAAUACAGGUUCCGUACUCGUGUGUGUAAGUGUGUUUUACGGUGUUGACGGAAGGUACAUAAAGAGGCAGUGAUGAUGAUGUUUCUAAUAUCUGGCCUAACCAAUUCAGGCAUGGAGAUGACCCGACCUGUAUCUUGGUGUGGCCGCACGGUAUGGCCUGUGACUGAGACUUCUGUCUCUCACAUGCAACCGGUAUUUGCAGCCAUGGCGUGGUUGGCUUCUCUUUUGCCUUAUCAUAACACAUAUCUGAUCCCCAUUUGCCUGAAAGGGAAAAAAAAAAUCCGUGAUCUAAUGUUGGAAUUUGUCUAACCUGUGACUUUCUGGUACAAGUUAUAAUCAUCCUGCAGUCCUAAUGCAUAAUCAUAUUUGUUCAGUAGCAGCUGAGCAUAGCCUAGAAAAAACAACAAAAAAAAAAUGAGGCACUGGGGGGAUUGGGAUUUUCUGUAAAGGGUGGUUGCCCCUCUCUGCUAUGCAAGUGAUUUCUCCAUUGGUAACCAAAAAAUCAACAGCCAAAUAAACAAGGGAAAAAAAUUGGAGCUGAUUUGCCAUGAGAAUUAUUCACCAUUUUUCUGGAGUUAUCUUGGCUUGGCAAACCCCAGAUGCCUAUGUGAAUUAUGGCUUCUCUUUCACAUGCAACCGGUACUUUUGCAGCCAUUGCGUGGUCUCCUCUUUGCCCCAUUAAUAACUCAGAUCUGAGCCUCAAAAUUGCAAGUGCUCCUUGACAUUGUUUGGUAGAAAUGCGAACUAUAUAUUUUGUUCAUUCAGUCAGUUUUGCUGGUAGGUCCUUUCUUGCUGCUGCUACUGAUGAUUCUCUUAUCUUGCUGCUGCAUGGCUGCCUGAAAACCUAAAGAGCGAGAAUCAUACUAGAAAAAGGUGAAAAAUUGAGGCAGUGAUAUGGUUCUUGACAAAUGGCAUAUUUUGCAUUGAGAUGAUAUUAAGACUCGGUAUCUUGGCAGGGCAAUCUGCUCAAGGUUGCAGCCAUGGCAUUUCUGAGUAAAUACUUGAUCAUAGAGAGAUCUGGGCCUUGUAUCAAGUACUAAUACUCAUAAUCCCUUUUUUUAAUAUUUUCUCCCCCCUCUUUUCUCAGUACUGCAGUAAAUUCACAGCAAGUGAAUGAGAUUUAGAUAAUCCUAUUUGUAUAUAUUAUUUAGAAAUUAUCCACAAUAUUUUGUUACCUGAAAUUUAGUACUUCCCGAGAUGGCCAGAAGGAAGAACGAGGCCAACAGGGGCAGGAGGGACUUCUAGAGGGUGGUUGCCCCCCUCUGUUUGGCCUAUGAUUUCUCCAUUAAUACAACCAACAGCCCUCUUCCUCUUUAUUUAACCAAAUAUCUGGCGCCUUCACCGUUAGGCGUUACUGAAGUCUCAAUCUGAGAUUAGUCCAAAAUUUCCACUGUUUCUUGUUAAGUAUGGAAAAGAAUCACCAUUUUCUGAAAGAGGCAGUGAUGAUACCUGCAUAUCUGGGUUAAACCAUCGGGACAUAGAAAUUCUGACCCAUAUCUUGGCUUGGCAAACACCAGAGUGGCUGUGAUACGAGGAUUCUCUUUCACGUGUUGUCGGUUUUGUGCAGCCAUGUUGCGGUCUCUUUCUCUUUGCCUCGUUUGGAACUCGCAUCUGAGCCUCAUUUCCAGUUAGUCCAACUGGACAGCUGGGGAUCAGACACGAGACCUUUGACUGAAACCCAUGUUGUGUUGUUUCAGUAGCUCAAAGACGAGAGAUCAGAAAGAAAAGGUGAUUUUUCCUUUUGGCAAGAAAUAAACAGCACCCUUUUUUUAUGCCAACCAUUGAUUAGUCUUCAAUGGAAGGACGUUCUCUGGAACUGGGAAUUCAUUAGUUUUGUGUGUUACUUAGUCCAAAGCACCCUAAAUUCUGCGAAAUAUAUGCGACCAUUUUCUCAAAGAGGCAGUGAUGAUAUUUGCUUAUGUGAGCUUAAAAAAAGGUCGUUUGGGUUUAGAGACGAGUGAAUCUGUAUCUUGGCUUGGUAAACCUCUGAUGGUAUGUGAUUUGAGGUUUUUCUAUCACGUGCAACUGGUUCUUUCGCUGCCAUUGUGUGGUCUCCUCCUCUCUUUGUCCCAUUACUAACCUUGCUCUGAGCCUUAAAUUGCAAGUAGUCCUUGACAUUCUUUGAUGGAAAAACCAAUGCGAAAUAGGAGUUAUUUAUUCAUUCAUUCAUUCAGUUUUGUUGGUUCCCAGAUUGAAAUCUUGGUCGGAGAAUUUAAUAGUGCUUCUCUUUCUGUAGCUCUAGCUUCUGAAGAUGCACAUUGCUGUUGAUUUCUUGCUGCUAACGAUUCUCUUGUCUUGCUGCUGUGGCUGUAUCAACCACCCAAACGUCGAGAACCAUACUAGAAAUAAAGAAAAAAACGAAAAAUUGAGGCAGUGAUGAUAUAGUUUUUGCAAAUAGCAAUAAAGUUUGCAUUGCUGUGAUGUAAGACUCGGAAUCUUGGCAGGGCAAUCUUUUCAAGGUUGCAGCCAUUGCAUAUCUGAGAAACUUCAUACAUGAUCAUAGAGAGAUCUGAGCCUCAUAUUAAGUGCUUAUAGUUUGCAAUCCUUUUCUUCGUUAUGUUUCCCUUUUUUUCAAGAUUGCAAAGUGAGUUGCAAUUUCUCUCUUUACCUGUUUUAUGUGUCGAGUUAUAAAUGUUACUCUUAAUUUUUGCUGUUCUGAAUUACCGUGAUUUUGCAUCACUUUUGUACCAAUUGAUGCCUCGUUUUUUGAUGUUCCAUGCCAUGUUUUCCAAUUUCAUAGGAUUAGAGAACAUCUACUUUCUUGAGCUUUGGCUUUUACAAGAACUGUGGGUUCUUGUUUUUUUAGUGUCAUAUUUUAUGCGUUACCCACCUUUUUGUUAGAAUAACUUAUUUUUCCUUUGUAAUAUUAUUAUAAAUCCAUUUUAAUA